GCACAUUUAGUCAAUAUUGAAACCAAAUGUAUUGCUGCUUCAAAUACAUGAAUGACCACCAGAAAAUGGUUUGUGCUAGAUAUAGUGUUGUGUCCAUCAGGUUUAAGUUAUUUUCCACUGAGGCAUGAUGGGAGAUACAGACUUGGCUUACCAGGGGGCUGUUUAAUCUUCUGUGCCCUCAAAAGGGCUUGUUUGGAAAUGAUUUCGGGCUUCUAAAUUUCCAUAGAAAGUGCUGGAAAAAAGUUUAAGGCUUCUUUUUAAAUACCAUCUGAAUGAUUUUUCUUCCCACUUUGGUUCACAUAAUAAUUGCGUUCUUACUCUUAAAUUUCAGGCAGUUCCUUUUAGUCUUGACAGUGUUGCAAAUUCCAUUCACUCCUUAUUUUCUGAGGAAACUCCUGUUGUUUUGCAGUUGGCUCCCAGUGAGGAAAGAGUGUAUAUGGUAGGGAAGGCAAACUCAGUGUUUGAAGACCUUUCAGUCACCUUGCGCCAGCUCCGUAAUCGCCUGUUUCAAGAAAACUCUGUUCUCAGUUCACUCCCCCUCAAUUCUCUGAGUAGGAACAAUGAA
rnacentral:lncRNA from 1 species